CUUGAAAUGGGCUGAGUCCCUCUUGCUCACCCUUGACUUGGAAAAACCAGUUUCUCUUUUAUUGUCUGUUACUAAUCUCUAUUCUAAAAAUUCAGCUCAAUUCUCAACCAUACUCCAAACUCUCUCUUUUCCAGCUACCUUUACUCCCUCUCCUUCAAUUCCACUUUCCUCUGCUUACUUUUUUUUUUUUUCUGACAGGGUCUCACUUUGUCGCCCGGGCAGGAGUGCAGUGGCUCAAUCUUGGGCUCACUGCAGCCUCAACCUCCCAGAGGCGGGGUUUCACCAUGUUGCCCAGACUGGUCUUGAACUCCUGAGCUUAAGCAAUCCACCUGCCUCGGCCUCCCAAAGUGUUGGGAUCACAGGCGUGAGCCACCGCAUCCGGCCUCAUGUUCUUUUUCAUUAAAGAGAGAAAUCAACUAUUCAGGACCGGCCCCCACCUUUCCUCAGGAGUCAUUUCUGUUCCGCACAGGCCUGCUGAACUGGGUGCUUUAUAUAGGAUUUCAGUGGAGUGAAGUUCAGGAGGCAUGGAGCUGACAACCAUGAGGCCUCGGCAGCCACCGCCACCACCGCCGCCGCCACCACCGUAGCAGCAGCAGCAGCAGCAGCAGCAGCAGCAGCAGCAGCAAGAGUAACUCUGACUUAGGAAUAGAGACAGCCAGAGAGAAAUGUGAUCAAUGAAGGAGACAUCUGGAGUGUGCGUGCUUCUUCAGAGGGACGGGUGAUGGGCAGAUUGGAAAAAGCACCGCAGAUGGGAACCUUAAUCUUUCUUUUCUAAAAUUGAUGCUAUGAAAAUUUGCGUUUUCUGUAACUUGUAAAAACUAAAAGUUGCUUGUCUACUGAAAA
rnacentral:lncRNA from 1 species